rnacentral:lncRNA from 10 species
UACAAAAAUCAGUCGGGCAUGGUGGCACAUGCCUGUAGUCCCAGCUACUUGGGAGACUGAGGCAGGAGAAUCGCUUGAACUCGGGAGGCAGAGGUUGCAGUGAGCCUAGAUCAUGCCACUGCACUCCAGCCUGGGCAACAGAGCAAGACUACAUCUCAACAAACAAACAAACAAACAAACAAAAACCAACCAACCAAACCAAAAAAACCCUUCUUUCCUAACGUUAACAUCAGCUAAUCUCUAUAUCUUCCAAACUAUAAUACCUAUGUAUUAUCCUGGUAUUUAAAAAUUUUAGCAUAGAAACUGCAUGCAAAAUGUUACUGUGUACUUCCUUCAAAUACAAUGAGAAAGGUAAAUACUUAGCCUAAUACAGAAAAUUAUUUAAAUCACUUUAACAAUUUUCACAUUGUUUUGGAAGAUAUUGUAAACAUUCUAGGCUAGGCAUGGUGGCUUAUGCCUGUUAAUCCCAGCACUUUGGGAAGCCGAGGCAGGAGGAUCGCUUGAGCCCAGUAGUUCGGUCUGGGCAACAUGGCGAAACCCCAUCUCUACUGAGAAAUACAAAACUUAGCUGGGCGUGGUGGCAUGCGCCUGUGGUCCCAGCUACUCGGGAAGCUGAGGUGGGAGGACUGCUUGAGCCUGGAAGGUCAAGGCUGCAGUGAGCCAUGACUGCUCCACUGCACACUCCAGCCUGGGUGACAGAGUGAGACUCUGUCUCAAAAAGAAAAAGAAAAAGAAAUAUUCUAGGUUGUAUAUAGACAAAGCUAAAAUUUAGAAGCAAAUGUGCAGAAAGUUUGUACAUUUGAAUUUUCAUUAAACUGCUAAUCCUACUGUAGAAUUUUGUGAUCAGAAAAACAUUUCCUUGGUCCUUGAUUUUCAGAAAAACAUAUUUUAAGGAGAAAUAUACAUUGUUUUCUUGUUUACUUCAUAUUGGCUGUUUGGGUAUAAAUCUGUAGAAGUUAAAAAUAUGUUCUUUUUGAAGUAUUGGCAAGAGUUCUAAAGUUACAAAUACUAGUACAUUAAGUCAUGAUAACAGCACUUAUGCCACGUUAUCUCUACAAAAUGUAAAAUGACUGGAAUCUUUGGAAUUCCCUUCCCCCACUAAUUCAACAAAGCUCAGAUUUGUCGUACUUUAGAACAGAGAGACUAUCUCCUUGAGCUACCCAAGCAUUGCUGCUUUUACUGGUCAAAUUAUUUACGAUCUGAAUAUUGGUCAUUUGCAUAUUUUAUAGGAAUUAUGCACCUUGGAGACAAGGGAACAGGUUGCAGCAAAUCUGUUAAAAAUACAGUUUAUGUUCAAAACUAGAUCUACUUUCCAUGUUUAGCACAAUAUGCAAGGGUUGCUUAUUGAGUGGAAAUAUGCCAAAAUCUGGGUUAAAGCCUUUGCAGUUCUCUAUUUGCCAGAAUGAAAACAUGAAUUUCUGGCCUUUAAGGCUGUGUAACGAAGACCCAGAAUUGAAGAAUAAAGUACUAAAAAACUGAAAUUAACUUUAUACACCAUUAUUUAGAAAGUUAUUAAUAUAAUCUGAAUUUUUGAUACCUAGAAUAGCCAUUAAAAGCAGGCAAUUAGGAGAUACCUCUGUAAAAGGCCAAAAGCAACAAGAACUUUACUAAAACCAGCAUAAAAGUGAGCUAAUUCAAUUUAGUAUUGUAUUUAAUAUUAAACCAAAAUGAUUUCAUAGAUUGCAAUAGAGUACCAAAUAUAG